rnacentral:rRNA from 1 species
GCAUGGGGGGCGUGCUUACACAUGCAAGUCGAACGAUGAUGCCCAGCUUGCUGGGCGGAUUAGUGGCGAACGGGUGAGUAAUACGUGAGUAACCUGCCCUUGACUCUGGGAUAAGCCUGGGAAACUGGGUCUAAUACUGGAUACUACUGCGCAUCGCAUGGUGUGUGGUGGAAAGGGUUUUACUGGUUUUGGAUGGGCUCACGGCCUAUCAGCUUGUUGGUGGGGUAAUGGCUCACCAAGGCGACGACGGGUAGCCGGCCUGAGAGGGUGACCGGCCACACUGGGACUGAGACACGGCCCAGACUCCUACGGGAGGCAGCAGUGGGGAAUAUUGCACAAUGGGCGCAAGCCUGAUGCAGCGACGCCGCGUGAGGGAUGACGGCCUUCGGGUUGUAAACCUCUUUCAGUAGGGAAGAAGCGAGAGUGACGGUACCUGCAGAAGAAGCGCCGGCUAACUACGUGCCAGCAGCCGCGGUAAUACGUAGGGCGCAAGCGUUGUCCGGAAUUAUUGGGCGUAAAGAGCUCGUAGGCGGUUUGUCGCGUCUGCUGUGAAAGCCCGGGGCUCAACCCCGGGUCUGCAGUGGGUACGGGCAGACUAGAGUGCAG